UGCGGCUGGAUCCCCUCCUUUCUAGAGCAAAGCUGGGUCAAGAACUCACAACCUAUCGAUUGUCACGCAUAGCACAGACGGCGGGUCUGUAGCUCAGUCGGUUAGAGCAUCGUCUUGAUAAGGCGGGGGUCGUUGGUUCGAUUCCAACCAGACCCACCAGGAGAUCGGGGGAUUAGCUCAGCUGGGAGAGCACCUGCUUUGCAAGCAGGGGGUCGUCGGUUCGAUCCCGUCAUCCUCCACCACUGCCUGGGAACAGGGGUCAGAAGCAAAUGCUGGACACAGUAUUUCCUUCUGACAGGAAACAGUCUGUCUGCUCUUUAACAAAAUGGAAGAAGGUUGUAUCGCUGGCCUGCCGACAAGCAAACGGCUGGCGAUACGGUUGUGAUUGCAUCGACCGCUUGCGGAGAGCAAGUGGUUGCACAAAUGAGUUGCCUGUAGCUAAGAGGUCUCGCAAGAGAGCUUAAGGUUAUAGGAUCAAGCGAAUAAGUGCAUGUGGUGGAUGCCUUGGCGAUUACAGGCGAAGAAGGACGUGCAAGCCUGCGAAAAGCUCCGGGGAGCUGGCAAUGAAGCUUUGAUCCGGAGAUGUCCGAAUGGGGAAACCCGG
rnacentral:misc_RNA from 1 species